ACUUUGAUCGACGAUCUCCUUUAUUUGGUAAUCAGGGUUUAAGCCUCAGGAGGAAGCAUUGAAUUCAGCAACAGGAAUCGAAUUGGUUUCCAUUUUUGGAAAUGGAAGGGAAGAAUCCAGUGAGGCUUACGUUGGGAAAGCAUUCUUCACUAGCUCCAGAGCGAGAACCAGAAGAAUCUGAUGUUGAUGUGGAAGGAAUUGAACCUGGAUUGAGGCUGAUGUAUUUAGCUAAUGAAUGAGGGAUAAAAGAGGUGUUGUUGUUGAAUUCUGAUGUGUGUUUGUUAAUUUUCCUGAUGUUGAUGAUCGUACUGCUCUUCAUAUUGCUGCUUGGCAAGGCUUUACUCAAGCUGUUUCCGAACUAAAGCAGGCCAAAUUGAUCUCAAAUAUCGCUGGGGCAACACUCUUCUUGCAGAUGCUAUAUAUAUUACAAAACCACGAUGUGAUUAAACUUUUGGAAAAACGUGGUGCUGGUGCAAAGCCUCUAAUGGCUCUUAUGCACGUGAGGUCCUGGAAUACGAAAUCAAUCCCGAUGAACUUGAUUUUACUAACAGUGUAGAAUUAACUAAGGGAACCUUUUGUAGCAUCAUGGCAAGGAAUUUAAGUUGCAGUUAAAAAGCUUGGUGAGGAAGUGCUUCGAGACAACGAUAAAUGACCAUUCAGAGAUGAACUUGCAUUGGUUCAGAAAAUACAGCAUCAAAAUGCGAUCCAGUUUCUGGGUGCUGUUACUCAAAGUUGUCCAAUGAUGAAUGUGACGGUAUAUUUGUCUAAGGUUGAUUGAGGAGUGCUGGCAUGAGAAUAAAGCUAAGCGACUGACUUUCAGGCAAAUACUAACAAGACUGGACACUGUUCAUAACAGCAUGGCUCACAAGAGGGCGGAAAGGUUUCUCCUCUCUCUGAAUAUGUGUGUGUGGUGAUGGUGUACUGUACUUGAAUGAGUAACCAAAAUUUUGACAUUACACUUUAUCUGACUACCUCUAAAGCCUGCUCCUUCAAAGAGCCAACCUUUUCUGUGUUGAAUGGCUUCAAUGCUUUAUUUUGUCCCUAGUGGAGUUAAUACAUUCCAGUUCUUUUCCUUUUCUUUUUCUGGGUUGUGUGGGUAGAAGUUGUGAUGAUAAAGCUUGGAAAUUGAUAAUUUACCCAAAUUAUAUGAAUUGAACCUUCUCUUGAGAGCU